AUGGGGGGCUUCCCAGGCUCCCCUUCCCAUCAUUUUAGGCAUUUAAGCUGUUUCCUACUUAGAGGAGGAGAGGAGAGGCAUUGCAGGCAGGCAAGUGCACACACUUUCUCUCCCAGGUCAGCACCCUACGCACACACUCUUUCCAAGGCAUUUAAAGGAGGCAAGUUCUUAAAGCUGUUUCCUACUCUAGAGGAGAAGAGGCGCUGCAGACAGGCAUGCACGCUUUCUCUUCCUGGUGCCACAUACUCUUUCCAAGGCAUUUUAAGGAGGCUGCCCACUUCCAGGUCCAUCUUUCGCCUGUGUUCAACCACUUUGUGCCAAUAGGAGUUGGGCAAAGCACUCUAGAUUCUAUUUCUCUACACUGCCAGAAUGGAGCCCAGUGGAAUCCUGCUGGAAGUUGCCCUGUAUUGUAUGAUAUGGGACUCUGACUCAGCAACAGAGAGAAACGGGGAGAAGACGCAGAGAAGACUACAUCUGAUGAGGUCAUAAAUUUCACUUCUGGGUGCUUGGAGCAACAAAGUGCUUCCAUAGUGGAGGGGUGGGCAAAAUGUGGUCCUAGGAACUGCAUCUACCUCCCGAAAUCACCGUUGUUUUUGCAAACUUUGAUCGGUUCACCUUCCCUGGGUAGUCCCUUUCUAGUCAGGCAAAAGGGUACAUUGCCUCUCCUGGAAACCUUUCACACCUUUUGAAUAGGUUACAACUCUCUUACACUUUUUCAAAACUAGAAAUGAACUUCCAACAAGUUUUUGGUUUUGAUUUUAGGGCAUGAGCACUCUUGACUUCAGAAUCUCAGGGCAGGAAAUUGGCCCAAGAACGAUCACAAUGGCCCAGAGUAUCCCAUUUCUAUUGUGACUGACCAGGGUGAAAACAAUGUACUUCACUCCUUCUUUAUAGUUUUAUAAUCCAAUUCCAUAGUUGUAUCCAUAGUUUAUAGACUAUAGAUGACUUUAAAAUAAUGGAUGAUAUAUAAGUGAAUAAUAGUAAUAAUAAUUUUAUUUCUAACCCGCCUUUCCUCACGGCUCGAGACGGGUAACAACAUUGCCAAAACACAUAAUGAAGACACAGAAUCAUUUAAAAACACUCCGUAGAAUACACAUAUUAAAACAUAUUUCCAUAAAAUUCAUAUUAAAAUACACAAAACAAAAGCUAGACAAAACAAAAAUUGACCCGAUUAAAAGCUAAGUUGUGUGUUACUUGUCAGAGUUUAGAGACCACUUAAGCAGGUGACAUGAAAUAUCCCACUCUGCCAAGUCUGCACCAAUAAGAGUUUUUCAUUGGAACUAGUUGACUCACAUUGUCUAUUAAAAAACAUGCUGUAUACUGCUCUUGUUUGCCACAGUUGUCUGAACUAGGCUCAGUUUUCUCACCAUCACAGUCCAUAGGGUCUCCAGAGAGAAGAAAGGAGUGAAAUUUAGGGCAUUCAUCCUGAGGAGGUGGGAGUAUGCAGCUAGUUUCCUUGAUUAAUUUGGCAUAUUCUUUUUAGGAGAUGUCUGACAUCUGUGACUUCUGGAUCAUGGAGUCAUUAUUUUAACAUGUGUUUAUCAAUGUGUGUUCAUGAUUUGAUUAUUGUGAUGCCAAAUAAAGUAAGUCAUACCUUAGGCUUAUUUCUCCUCAAAGAGCUUUCACAUCACCUGAUGUUGCUUCCAACCCAGGCACAAUACCUUUCAAUGGAAACAGAGGAAAAGGGAUGAUUGCUUUUGCCUCCUUAGAAAAAAGCUCAGAAAAAAUACUGUACACACACCCGCAUGCUGAGUUCCUAGUAGUCAAGAACAUUUUUCCCUCAGUCCUCAAUUGUUUAUACUUA
rnacentral:lncRNA from 1 species